rnacentral:rRNA from 1 species
GAUGAACGCUGGCGGCGUGCUUAACACAUGCAAGUCGAACGGGAAAUAUUUCAUUGAGACUUCGGUGGAUUUGAUCUAUUUCUAGUGGCGGACGGGUGAGUAACGCGUGGGUAACCUGCCUUAUACAGGGGGAUAACAGUCAGAAAUGGCUGCUAAUACCGCAUAAGCGCACAGAGCUGCAUGGCUCAGUGUGAAAAACUCCGGUGGUAUAAGAUGGACCCGCGUUGGAUUAGCUUGUUGGUGGGGUAACGGCCCACCAAGGCGACGAUCCAUAGCCGGCCUGAGAGGGUGAACGGCCACAUUGGGACUGAGACACGGCCCAGACUCCUACGGGAGGCAGCAGUGGGGAAUAUUGCACAAUGGGGGAAACCCUGAUGCAGCGACGCCGCGUGAAGGAAGAAGUAUCUCGGUAUGUAAACUUCUAUCAGCAGGGAAGAUAGUGACGGUA